AAAAUUUUAGUUUAAUAUAAAAUAUUUCAUUUACAAUGGAAAGUUUAAUUUAAAAAUUAAAAUUUUA
rnacentral:tRNA from 3 species